rnacentral:rRNA from 1 species
AGGUUAGUUUUACCCUACUGAUGAUUGACACACACCCCCGUCGCCGUCAAAGUAAUCCCACUUAGUACGAGAGGAACCGUGGGUUCACAUAAUUGGUAUUUGCAGUUGGCUGAACAGCCAAUGCUGCGAAGCUACCAUGUGUAGGAUUAUGGCUGAACGCCUCUAAGUCAGAAUCCAUGCUUGCCGAACGGCGAUACACUCAGGCCCUCCUAUAUUUAGGCGGUUGAGGAUAGGCGCAAGCCUUGAAUCGUACCCUGGAGUUGAGGGGGGGUGCGGGCGACUCGCCCCGUGCCCCCCCAUUCACUCUGAAUCAUAAUUCCAAAUAUCGGGAGGGAUUAAAUCCUUUGCAGACGACUUAAAUACAGAACGGGGUAUUGUAAGGAGCAGAGUAGCCUUGUUGUUACGAUCUUCUGAGAUUAAGCCUCUUGUU